rnacentral:lncRNA from 1 species
GUCAGAAUAGUAAUGAGUGCAGCUGUGACGCGCGGCUCGAUCUGACGCAGACGGAGACUCUGGGACUCUGAGAGCGACUGCUGAUGAAGCCGCUGAACACCGGAGCGCUGCGCUGGACACGAGACACACAGCAGGAAGUGUGCUUUGGUGUUUCGGUCACGUUUAACUUCGGCUGGACUUCAUGCCGAGUGACGGAUCUACAAUGUUCACUGGUGCAACUUUCCAAAGUGUUCUGUUGGUGGCGAUCUGUCUCGUAAGCUGGGCCGCCCCACAUGGCCUCGAACGCCCAGGAGACCUUCGUGGAGAAGAUAAAGAGUCGGCAUCAGCUGACAGAUCACUGGAUUCAGGCUCCUCCAGUCUGACGGUCCCCAACACAUCCCUGAGCAUCACCGGUGGAGAACCCAACACCACACCAGCAUCUGCACCGGAUGGAAACGAGGACAGACGGUCCAGGAUGGAUGAGCGGCAGAACACCACGCCUCCGUCCUCUGGAGAUUCUCAUGUCUCUCCGUCUCUGACGACGCCUCCUGCUGGAGAUCUGGAGAGAAGUGACACGCUUCACUGGAACUCAUCUGCGGAGGACAGAGGACCGACUCCUUCAGCUCUUCAGUCAGAUGCGUUCAGCCUCUCGCCGCUCACCGGCGGAGACUCGGCGGCUGGAUUAGCAGCUGAAUCCGGACUGAGCUUCAGCUCCAGACUGCUGGACUCGCCGGAUACCUGGACCGAAGCGGAUCGUCUGCAGGCAGAGGAAGUGAGCGUCUUUCCCUCCUCUCAGGACGUCAGCACAGAGGUCACCAUGUCCUCCGAAGACCUUCCUCUGAUUUUUGAGCCGUUUGAAGACGUCACGGCGCCCGGAGCAUCAUCCGGACCGUCUGUCGCCAUGACGCCAGCGGCCGUAACCAUAGGAGACCCAGAGCUGGAGCGGAUGGUGUCCAUGGUUACGGAUCACAUUUCCUCUGACGGCCGUCUCUCAGGAAUGCUGGAGACGUCUGGAGUGACAGAGCCAAUCACAGAACCCCAUCCGGAAGCAGAGCAUUAUGGGACGACACAACGUGAGAAUAUAUAACAGAGCGCAGCAGUGAUGGCAUAUUUCUGGAGCAUCACUCUGAGUCCCUCGACUAAAACCCAAUAGAAUUUU